rnacentral:lncRNA from 1 species
GGUAGAAGAACGAGACGAUUCAAGGAGGAAAAAACACGAAGAUGUCGUGAAACAGGAAUCAAGGCUUCAUAAAAGGAAGGUCAAUAGCCCCAAUUAAGUCACACCUCUCAAUAAAACCCACCAAAAAUAAAAACAAAAUCUUAUAAAAAGAGUAAUGUGUAGAUGGAGAACAAACCUACAAACAGUUUGAUUUUCCCAGUUAAUUAACUCACACACCUUCCUUCCUGAUCUUUUUGACAGCAACAACAAAAUCCAUUUCCUGGAGUAUUUUACUCAAUCAUGUAGGCAACAACAACACCUUUCUUCCUGAUCUUUUUGACAGCAACAUCACAACCUAUUUCUUGAAGUAACUCGAUGAUGUAAGCAACAAUAACACGUUCCUUGCUGAUCUUUUCUCAUCUAUCAUGAUUAAGUUGCAGAACAUCAGCAGACAAAUUAAAAAAAAUCUACAACUAAGAACCCUAAUUUUAAAGAAGAAGAAGAUGGUUAAUGAAGUGAUUAUUAUAGCAUUUGAUAGGAAGAGAUGGAGCCAGUAAUUGAAACGGGAAGUAAACAUAACACUUAUCCGAACAUCUGCUCAUCAUUGUCGUCAGUUGAACCACCACCGACACACACCCCAAAAACCACGGGGGGUUCUUGGGGUCGAUGAAUUAAAUGGGGAAGGCUUUGCUUCAAUUGGGGUCGCUGGAAACAGAAGAGAGAUAAAGAUAUAAAUGAAACCCAAAAAUGAAUGUGAUGAAGAGAAAGAAAGCGGUUUAUAGCAAGUGUCUUUUUUGAUGAAAGAAAACCAUUAGUGAAAGUGGUGGUGGUAGAAAACGGUGAAUGACUAAUCACGGAGUGGAAGGUGACUUGGCUUGGGGAUGAAGGUGUGCAAAGAAAAUAGAUGGCCACCUGUCAAACGUGUAGGGCGGUGGAGAAAUAGUGGAAGACUGCUUGCAGAGCGACGGUAGAAGACAGAGGCAAGUAACUUUGGUUCCUCCAAACUUGCAGUCUCAUUGGGGGAGAAGGGCGGUGCAGCAGGCAAAUCGUGAAGCAGACGCGCCCCCAUUUUAAGGGGAUUAAUAAAAGCGCCAAAAAGGAUAUGAAGAAGCAUGAGAUAAGGAUAGGAGGGCAAGCUGGUGAUAACGGAGUGAUGGAAGGGGGAAGGAGGUGCAACCAUCCGAUCUCCAAACUGGUAUCUUGUCGGUUCCUUCCUAAGCCUGAGCUAAGGAUAACGGUCAUCCACUGGAAUUGAACUUGAAUCAGAAGUUUAUGAAGACGAUUGUAAUUGUAGUGAAAAAAGAUUGAAGUUAAACCAGAAAGGAUUAAUAAACGAGAGAAUGGCAAAUCGUAUCCAACAAUCUAACUUCUAAUCUGUGGGUUAAAGGGCGGUGAUAACGGAGGUAACAUCAAC